AAAACUGUUUUUUUGUCAAAAUUUGAGGAUUGAUUGUGGAAAAAUGGUUACAUACUUAUUCUUGAAAGUACUGUUCAUCGCUAACCACAACUUUUCCUCAACUUUCUGGCAGCAUGCGAAUUCUGCGUCAAAAAAACUGUUUGCUUUUUGAGGCGAUCCACGAAUCGACCCAGUUUUUGGCCUCUUUGUAAUACGGAAAUGCUGCUCAGCCAGGCCGUGCGUCAUUGAUCGGAACAGGUAGUAAUCGGAAGGGGCAAUGUCAGGAGAAUACGACGGGUGGAGUAAAACGCUCCAUUUCAGUGUUUCCAAAUAGGUUUUAACGAUCUAAGCAAUAUGUGGCUGAGCGUGUCGUGCAGCAAAAUCACUUUUUCGUGUAUUUGCUCGUAUUGUGACCGUUUUUCCUGCAAUGCUUGGCUCAAACGCAUUAGUUGUGCUUGAUAGUGACGUUCUGUGAUGGUUUCACCCCAAUAAUACCUCUAACUUUGCGCCUUCAAACUUUUUCACCGAUCCGAGACGCUCCUUGUCCUUUAUGCCAAAAUCACCACUUUUGUAGCGUUGAAACCAUUCUCGACACGUUCUUUCACUAAUGGUAGCCUCACCAUGAGUUUCUACAAUCAUUCGAUGCGCCUCAGCUGCAGAUUAUUUCAAAUUAAAGGCGUAUAUUUUCAGGUCGUGCGGCAUGCGCACUACUGGCGUGAAAAUGCUACGUACACCAACGCCAUCUUCAUAUGUAAUUCCGAUACGUAGUUCCGGUUUCUUCUCUGACUAUUUGGGUUCCGGCAUUGCCAGCAUCAACGCGUGGCCGACAUGGCUGAAUUUCUACAGGGCUGCGUCCAGAAACAUUAAGUAUCAUUUUACCUUUAUUUGUUUAUCAAAUGUUAAACAAUUAAGGAUAAAAUGCUAUCUUUGUGCAGCCAAUGUUUCUGGACGCAGCUCUGGAUUGCUGAUGCAAUCAGUGUUCUCCCUGUUAUCUGUGCUGAUUUGAGGAGAGAUUGAAGAGGCAUAUUGGAAGAAAAAUCAGUGUUGUAUUAAGAUUCUGCAAAUCUUUAACGAAGUGCUGGAGCCUAUCUAGGUGCAGCCCAGGAUUGCUGACACAAUCAGAAUUCUCUGUAUUAUUUGUGCUGACUCGAGGGGAAAUUGAAGAAGCAUAUCGGAAGAAAACAGAUCUUGCACAUCGUAAACAAAGUGCUGGGGUCUAUCUGGGUGCAGCCCAGGAUUACUGACGCAAUCAGUGUUCUCCGUGUUAUCCUGUUAUCUAUGCUGACUCGAGGAGAAAUUGAAGAGGCAACCUUAUAUAUAAUUAUAUGCAUAAUUUACAUAAUUUUACGCACGCACAGCACACACACACGCACGCGCACACACACACGCACGCGCACACACACGCACACACACACUUUUUCUGAUAUAUAUAUUGUUCUUAAAAAUGUUGAUGUUGCAAUAUUAAAUUUAUAAGAUUUUUUGUGCAUUUCCAAUAUGUUUGUUAUCUCUAUUGCAUUUUGUAAUAAUGUACAUACGCAACAAGUAUCAAGAUUAUGUACAUUUAAAAUAAAUUCUA